GGUGCGCAGCACAGGGAGGCGGGGGUACACGCUGCGGCAACAGCGCAAGCGGAGGGAAGUCCUAGAGCCGCCUGACAGACCGUUUAACCGAACUCCCGUUACGCUAGCGAGCCGCGUGCGCCCUAGGGGUGACCAUGGAGGGCAGUAAGCGAACCGGGUCUCUCUCCGGCCCUGCGAAACGCCGGGAUCAGGCCGGGGAGGCACAGAUGAGAGAAAAGGAGCAGUUUCGCAAACUGUUCAUUGGUGGCUUGAGCUUUGAAACAACAGAAGAAAGUUUGAGAAACUACUAUGAGCAAUGGGGGAAACUUACAGACUGUGUGGUGAUGAGGGAUCCUGCAAGCAAACGAUCGAGAGGAUUUGGUUUUGUAACAUUCUCCUCCAUGGCCGAAGUUGAUGCAGCCAUGGCUGCAAGACCUCACUCAAUUGAUGGAAGGGUAGUUGAGCCAAAACGAGCAGUAGCCAGAGAGGAAUCUGGAAAACCUGGUGCUCAUGUUACUGUGAAAAAGCUGUUUGUUGGUGGAAUUAAGGAAGAUACUGAGGAACACCACCUUCGAGACUACUUUGAGGAAUAUGGGAAAAUUGACACUAUUGAAAUAAUUACAGAUAGACAAUCUGGUAAAAAGAGAGGUUUUGGCUUUGUUACGUUUGAUGACCAUGAUCCUGUGGAUAAAAUUGUAUUGCAGAAAUACCACACCAUCAACGGCCAUAAUGCAGAAGUAAGAAAAGCUUUAUCUAGACAAGAAAUGCAAGAAGUUCAAAGCUCUAGGAGUGGAAGAGGAGGUAACUUCGGCUUUGGGGAUUCACGUGGAGGUGGUGGCAACUUUGGUCCAGGACCAGGAAGCAACUUCAGAGGUGGAUCUGAUGGAUAUGGAAGUGGUCGUGGAUUUGGUGAUGGAUACAAUGGAUAUGGUGGAGGACCAGGAGGUGGCAAUUUUGGAGGUAGUCCUGGUUAUGGAGGAGGAAGAGGAGGAUAUGGUGGUGGAGGACCUGGAUAUGGCAACCAGGGUGGGGGCUACGGAGGUGGUUAUGACAACUAUGGAGGAGGCAAUUAUGGAAGUGGAAACUACAAUGAUUUUGGAAACUAUAACCAACAGCCCUCAAACUAUGGUCCAAUGAAGAGUGGAAAUUUUGGUGGUAGCAGGAACAUGGGGGGACCAUAUGGUGGAGGAAACUAUGGUCCAGGAGGCAGUGGAGGAAGUGGUGGAUAUGGAGGGAGGAGCCGUUACUGAGCUUCUACAAACUUGCCAUGGCUUUGAUAUGAGCCAUCGACAAGCAUAGACUGCUGCUACUGUACACUGCUACAGUUGAACAAAUGAGACCUGCAAGUGUCCAUUAGUAAAGUUUUGCAAGGGUUCCAUACCUGGUGUUGGUAGUUAAAAUGGAAGGUGCCAUGCUGCAGGUAACAAAUGAAGAAGUGGUCAACCACAGACAUGCUUCAAGAAAUAAGAAAUUUUGAAUCAUCAGAAAAUAAUUGCUUUUUCUGGCUUCAUUAAAAAUCUAUAGGUUAAAUGAAUCCUGAAAAUAAAACAUCUCCGUUAGUACAGCAUCCUGUAAUGCUGGGGUUUUUAAAAAUAUAAAAUGAUAGUAACUGUCUGUAAAUCUCUUGAAUAAAAUUCAGGCGGGCUAGGAAAAGCAGACCACUAAUGUUAUGAAAUAGCAAAUGUUCUGUGAAUAGAAACAUUAAAUAUAUAUAUUUUUAAAAUAAUUUUCAUAGCUUUAAAAUAAAAAUAUUUUAUACCAAAGUA